rnacentral:rRNA from 1 species
AGAUUAGGUAGUUGGUGGGAUAAAAGCUUACCAAGCCGACGAUCUGUAGCUGGUCUGAGAGGACGAUCAGCCACACUGGGACUGAGACACGGCCCAGACUCCUACGGGAGGCAGCAGUGGGGAAUUUUGGACAAUGGGCGCAAGCCUGAUCCAGCAAUGCCGCGUGCAGGAUGAAGGCCUUCGGGUUGUAAACUGCUUUUGUACGGAACGAAAAGCCCUGAGUUAAUACCCUGGGGUCAUGACGGUACCGUAAGAAUAAGCACCGGCUAACUACGUGCC